AAAUAUGGGGAGACUUAAGGGCACUACUGAGAGGACUGAAGGUAUAGCAGCAGCUGAUAGAACUCUCUCCUCCGAUUCCAAGACCCAUUUGUAUUUCACUGAAAGCACUGACUUUUCUCAAAAACCUGGACCUUUUUCUGCCCCCCACCCCCAAACUGAAGACCCAGUUAAGAUCUACAGUGAUGAACAAAGCUAGCUUUUACUGAAUACUUGACAUCAAUUAUACUAUACAAAAAGCACAGUGUUGAAAAGUGAUACAUUUUUAAUACAAUUUAAAAGCCAUAAAUACAUUAA